GGGACUGUGGCUCAGUGGUACAGCACUUGCCUAGCAUGUAUGAGGCAUGGGGUUCGAUCCUCAGCACCU
rnacentral:tRNA from 1 species